UCCGUGAAUUCCGUCCCUUCGGUCAGUUCGGUCCAUCUUUCAUUUUACGUCGAGGAGCUUUUCAUUGUGGUCGAUUCGAAAUCCGAAGUGAUCCAGCGUUUCCGAGACGAUCUAGAAUCGCGUGAGCGGCGAGAUGAGAGCUAAGUGGCGUAAGAAGAGGAUGCGCAGGCUAAAGCGCAAGAGGAGGAAGAUGCGCGCGAGGUCCAAAUAAAGCGGCUUCCCCGUUGAGAGCGUUCCACCCACAAUCUCUCCGUGGGGAGAAUGGACCUGCGAGACGUUUCACCGUUCGACGAACGCUCCUAGCUGAUUGAAAGUCUCGGCGAGACGGAUCUUCAAUGGACACAUUUUUCGCACUCGAGAGAAUUUUGUACAUGGAAAUCUUGUUUGGUUAAAUACAUCGACUACUCAAGAUA